GACGAACGCUGGCGGCGUGCUUAACACAUGCAAGUCGAACGAAGUGGCGAACGGGUGAGUAACGCGUAAUCAACCUGCCCUUCAGCGGGGGACAACAGUUGGACACGACUGCUAAUACCGCAUACUGAAGGAGGGGAUUGCGUCUGAUUCGCUAGUUGGAGGGGUAACGGCCCACCAAGGCGAUGAUCAGUAGCCGGUCUGAGAGGAUGAACGGCAACAUUGGGAAUGAGAAAAGGCCCAGACGCCGACGGGAGGCAGAAGUGGGGAAGCUUCCGCAAUGGACGAAAGUCUGACGGGGCAACGCCGCGUGAGUGAUGACGGCCUUCGGGUUGUAAAGCUCUGUUAAGCGGGACGCGGUACCGGAAUAGAAAGCCACGGCUAACUACGUGCAAGCAGCCGCGAUAAUUC
rnacentral:rRNA from 1 species